rnacentral:rRNA from 1 species
CCUACGGGUGGCAGCAGUGAGGAAUAUUGGUCAAUGGGCGAGAGCCUGAACCAGCCAAGUCGCGUGAAGGAUGAAGGAUCUAUGGUUUGUAAACUUCUUUUAUAUGGGAAUAAAGUGAGGAACGUGUUCCUUUUUGUAUGUACCAUAUGAAUAAGCAUCGGCUAACUCCGUGCCAGCAGCCGCGGUAAUACGGAGGAUGCGAGCGUUAUCCGGAUUUAUUGGGUUUAAAGGGUGCGUAGGUGGUUAAUUAAGUCAGCGGUGAAAGUUUGUGGCUCAACCAUAAAAUUGCCGUUGAAACUGGUUGACUUGAGUAUAUUUGAGGUAGGCGGAAUGCGUGGUGUAGCGGUGAAAUGCAUAGAUAUCACGCAGAACUCCGAUUGCGAAGGCAGCUUACUAAACUAUAACUGACGUUGAGGCUCGAAAGCGUGGGGAGCAAACAGGAUUAGAUACCCGAGUAGUC